rnacentral:rRNA from 1 species
GAUGAACGCUGGCGGCGUGCCUAAUACAUGCAAGUCGAGCGAACGGACGAGAAGCUUGCUUCUCUGAUGUUAGCGGCGGACGGGUGAGUAACACGUGGAUAACCUACCUAUAAGACUGGGAUAACUUCGGGAAACCGGAGCUAAUACCGGAUGAUAUUUUGAACCGCAUGGUUCAAAAGUGAAAGACGGUCUUGCUGUCACUUAUAGAUAGAUCCGCGCUGCAUUAGCUAGUUGGUAAGGUAACGGCUUACCAAGGCAACGAUGCAUAGCCGACCUGAGAGGGUGAUCGGCCACACUGGAACUGAGACACGGUCCAGACUCCUGCGGGAGGCAGCAGUGGGGAAUCUUCCGCAAUGGGCGAAAGCCUGACGGAGCAACGCCGCGUGAGUGAUGAAGGUCUUCGGAUCGUAAAACUCUGUUAUUAGGGAAGAACAUAUGUGUAAGUAACUGUGCACAUCUUGACGGUACCUAAUCAGAAAGCCACGGCUAACUACGUG